AGACAAGCUCCCUGCAUGAUUGGCUUCAAAGUGUCUGGUGCCAAACAACUAACAGAGGCGCAAAAAGUAGAAGCCGUGCAUUUACAGCCCAGCGAAAGGGAGGCAGACAGAACGCGAGCUACCCGGGGCUCCUCAGAUGCUGGAGUCUCUCUCUACCUUUGCACGGCUCUCUCGACGUCUUAGGAGCAUUUAAGCAUGCCAGCCCAGGAGAUCAGAGACACUCAGCCCAGCUGAAAACAAGUGAGAGAGAACAAUUAGAGAGGGGGCUCAAUUCUCAAAAGUGAGCCCGCUCCUUGAUCUGCAAAGCGGAAGCAGCCGCAGCAGCUGUGAGCAAGAAAAAGGUGAAAUUUACCAAGAAAGAACUCGUCUCUAUUCCAGUCUAUUGAAUCCCAGUCAUGGCAUCCGUCUUGGGAAACAACAGAGGGUCUGGAGGGCUAAGUAGUCAACUCAAAUGCAAGUCGAAAAGGAGGAGGAGAAGAAGAUCAAAGAGAAAAGGCUGGCUCCCAGGGAAAUACCAUGCCAGUGUUCCACAGAUUUCACUGGAUACCAGUCAGUUUCUUCUGGUUCCAGAUCUAUCCCAUCCCUCACCAGGCCCUCCAGAAAAGUCACCAGAUUAAUUUUCUUACAAAGAGAAGAAAAGAUAUGAAUAAAUAAUUUGUGGAUUUGCUGGAGUUCCA
rnacentral:lncRNA from 1 species